GAGGUUGUGCCCUUGAGGCGUGGCUUCCGGAGCUAACGCGUUAAGUAGACCGCCUGGGGAGUACGGCCGCAAGGUUAAAACUCAAAUGAAUUGACGGGGGCCCGCACAAGCGGUGGAGCAUGUGGUUUAAUUCGAUGCAACGCGAAGAACCUUACCUGGUCUUGACAUCCACAGAAGAAUCCAGAGAUGGAUUUGUGCCUUCGGGAACUGUGAGACAGGUGCUGCAUGGCUGUCGUCAGCUCGUGUUGUGAAAUGUUGGGUUAAGUCCCGCAACGAGCGCAACCCUUAUCCUUUGUUGCCAGCGGUUAGGCCGGGAACUCAAAGGAGACUGCCAGUGAUAAACUGGAGGAAGGUGGGGAUGACGUCAAGUCAUCAUGGCCCUUACGACCAGGGCUACACACGUGCUACAAUGGCGCAUACAAAGAGAAGCGACCUCGCGAGAGCAAGCGGACCUCAUAAAGUGCGUCGUAGUCCGGAUUGGAGUCUG
rnacentral:rRNA from 1 species